ensembl:processed_transcript Gm26621 predicted gene, 26621
AGCUGUCUUGGAGUAUCCACCAGUUAACAUAUUGAUACAUGACUUAAGUGGCAUUACAGGAGUAUAUCACCAUGCCCAGCUAAAGGGCACUUAUUAUAAAUACUGUUUAUAUUUAGGUUUUCAGUAAAUACUUGCUGUACUAUUUAAAAUAGAUACUUGUUUAUCUUAAUAUAGAUGAUACCAAUAUUUUGAUUCAGAAGUAGUGUAAAUCUUACAUAUCACUGUAAUUUGUUGCUAAAUAGCCUUAAGCCUAGCUUCAGGUUCUAUAAUAAUUAAGGAAAGUAUUAAUUUUCCUGGUCUCCACUUCUUUGUCAGCUGAAUUGCAUUGUCAUAGUACCUGACAGGAUUGUUGAUGAAGUGAGUCGAUGUCAGUUGAAUGUUCUUGACAUACGGUAGUUAUCAUUAUUGUUACUAUUUUAAGAUUUUUUAAUCCAUUACCCUUUUCACAGACCUGAUUGGUCUAACUGCUACUUUUAUAUUUGUACCAGGCAGACAGGUUGAUCAAUGUAAUAGAAUUGAAGACUCAGAAAUAAAACCACACACUUAUGGACACUUGAUAUUUGAAAAAGAAGCCAAAAAAUAUACAGUGGAAAAAAGAAAGCAUCUUCAAUAAAUGGUACUGGUCUAACUGGCAGUUAGUAUGUAGAAAAAUGAAAAUAGAUCCAUAUUUGUCACCUGGCACAAAGCUCAAGUCCAAGUGGAUCAAGGACCUCAACAUAAAACCAGAUUCACUGACUCUAAUAGAAAAGAAAGUGGGAAAGAGCCUCAAGCUCAUUGGCACUGGGCUGGGGAGGUGGGGGUGGGUAUUUCCUAAAUAGAACUCCAAUGGCUCAGACUCUAAGAUCAAGAAUUAAUAAAUGGAACGUCAUGAAACUUCUCAGCUUCUGUAAGGCAAAGGAUGUAGUCAGUUAAUCAAAUUGGCAGCCUAUAGAUUGAGGAAAAAAAUCUUCACUAACACCACAUCCCAUAGAGGCCUAAUAUCCAAAAUAUAGAAAGAACUCAAGAAGCAAAAACCCAAACAACCGAAUCAAAAAAUGGGGUAUAGAGAGAGCUAAACAGAGAAUUCACAACAGAAAAAUCUCGAAUGGCCAAGAAGUACUUUUAAAAAUGUUCAAAGUCCUUAGUCAUCAGGGAAAUGCAAAUCAAAUGACCCUGAGAUUAUUUACACUAAUCAUAAUGGCUAAGACCAAAAACUCAGGUGACAGCUCAUGUUGGCAAGGAUGUGGAGAAAGAGGAACAAUCCUCCAUUGCUGGUGGAAUUGCAAACUGGUACAACCAUUUUGAAUAUCAAUCUGGAGGUUUCUCAGAAAAUUGGAAAUAGAUCUUUCUGAAUACCCAGCUAUACCACUCUUGGGCUUAUACCCAAAAGGUGCCCCACUAUACCACAUGGGCACGUGCUCCACUAUGUUCAUAGCAACCUUAUCUGUGAUAGCUAGAAGCUGGAAACAACCCAGAUGCACCACAACUGAAGAAUGGAUACAGAAAAUGUGGGUCAUUUACACAAUUGAAUAUUAUUUAGCUAUUAGCAAGGACAUCAUGAGUUUUGCAGGUAAAUGUAUAGAACUAGAAAAUACUCUGACUGAGAGAACCUAGACCCCAAAGGACAUGCAUGAUAUGUACUCACUAAUAAGUGGAUAUUAGCCAAAAAAAAGUACAGAAUACCCAGAAUACAAUCCAUAGAGAAGGUUAACAAGCAGAAGGGCCCAUGAGGACACUCACUUGGGAGGGAGAAGAAAGCCAUCAAGGGAAGCAAAGGGAGGGAGGAGGGAUCUGGGGAGGGGAGGGGAAAGGGGGAACAUGAUCAGAUAUAGGGGUGGUAGAAACAGGAGAGAAGCCCUGAGGGCCAGCAGAAUAAAUGGAGAUAUGCAACCUUGAGGGGGGGAGUGGGAGGGGGGAACCCUCUAGAAAGUAGCAGAGACCUGGGAGGUGAGAUACUCUCAGAACUUAAAAGGAGGGACCUUAGAUGAAAUGUCCAACAGUGGGGAGAGGGAACUUGUAGAGUCUACCUCUAGUAGAAAGACAGGGCAUCAAGUGAAGGGAUGGGGUUGCCAUCUCACAGUCAAAAACUCUGACCCAGAAUUCUUCCUGUCUAAAAGAACUGCAGGGACAAAAAUGGAGAAGAGACUGAGUGAAAGGUGGUCCAGUGACCAGCCCAACUUGGGCUCCACCUCAAGGCGAGGUUCCAAGACCUGACACUAUUACUGAUGCUAUGGUGUGCUCACAGACAAGAGCCUAGCAUGGCUGUCCUCUGAGGCCCAAGAAGCAGCUGAUUGAGACAGAAGCAAAUACUUACCCAACCAAUGGACUGUGAUUGAAUUAGGGAAAGGCUGGAAGAAGCUGAGGAGGGCGACUCCAUAGGAAGACAGCAGUCUCAAUUAACCCAGACCCCUGAGAUCUCUCAGACACUGAGCCACCAAUAAGGCAGCAUACAGUAGCUGGUCUGAGGCCCCCCCAACCCAUAAAGCAGUCGGGCCUCAGUGGGAGAAGACUGGCCUAACCUGGAGAGACUUGAGGCUCCAAGAAGUGGGGAAGCCUAAUAGGGAGUGGGGUGGGGGUGUGGAGGAGUUGAGGGGAGGGACAUCCUCUUGGAGUUGGGAGAGGAGUAGGAUGAGGAACUGUGGCAGGGUAGACCUGGAGGUGGGUAGCACCUGGACUGUAAAGAAGUAAAAGUAACCUUGCAAAUUCAGUAUUUAGCAAAUUAAUAAAGAAAAAACCUC